UCGUCCCUGCCGAAAACGUCGGGAUGCAAUCCCAUCUAGCACCGAUCCACCCCGCCUCACCUCCGUCCUGACAGGCUCGGCGCUGCCUCCUCCCCUCCCAAGCACAGCCGCCGCUACACACCCCAUCAGAGUACACCUCCCAUACUCCCUCUCUCUCUUGGAGCCGCCGCCGCUCCCCAUCCACCCGGCGUGCAUCGGAUCGACCUUGUUCCCUCUCCUUGCAACGUGGGAUAUGGAAGGGGCCGCCUGUCGGGCACCAAUCUGAUGGGGGCGUGGUCAUCUACCUCCUCCUCUCUCCCCACGUUGGUCCAGCCUGUCUUCUCUACCAGAUCUGGCGGCCGCGUCGGCGAAACUGCUGGCAGUGAGACGGUUCGCGGGUGUGCGAUAGGAAACAUCGGCCGGUCGUCUUCGAGUCCGCCUACCACGGCGAUCCCGCAGUACAGCCUCCCCGCCUCCAAGAUGUGGCCUGGACAAGGCCGUCUUCUCCUUUCCUCUGUGGCGUCCAAUGAAGAGCUACACCACCGUGGCACCACAUGUGUAUUGUACCUUCGCCCCGCGGCCCUUCUGUUCUGGGAUGAGGCAGCGUUUGUCUGUAGCACUCCAUGUCCCACAUCAACAUUCCUUUCUUACUUAGUGUUGUACAAGUGAUGCAAUCAGGAUUUGCUGGUUUUUGAACAUAUCCCUGAUAGAGUGAAAGGGACGGAAGAAUUGGAAAUACAAUGAGGAUGGUGCAUGGAGAACAUGCUCUGUUGCCAUCUUCAUCCGCGAAUUGGCUCCCAAAUCUAAAAGGUGUGGCUGCCGAAACAUGAGUCUAACAAGGCGCGGCUGCUGAACCAGGAGAACCGCAGACCUGGUCACAAUGAAUGAGUUUGAGACAAACCUUGUGUCAUGUGUUAUCGCACUCAGAUAUCGGAGCCUUGGAGAAUGUAAAGAAAUGUUAAACGGGUAGAUGUGGCCCCUCUAAACUUACUUGAAUUGUUCAGCAAAGGUCCGCGAUUAAUGGUACCCAUGUACAUUCAGUAGGGCGAGUUGGUCUUGCUAUAUUGCAUUCAGGCAUAGUGUUGAUAUUUCAUCAAAAAUAAGUUCAAGCAUGAUAUUUAAGAUCAAUUCUGGAAGAAUGACCUGACACACCUGAAACAUAAGAAAAACAUAAGGUGACUAAAAAAUACAUUGAACCAAAUGUGCCUGACUGAAUUUUAUUUGGAAUCGUACGUGUUAUUAUUCUUUGAAUGUGGCUGGCCAUUGCUAGCAUGCAUACAUGUAGCCACAUCUAUGUGAUAUGGUCAGUAUAUAUCUAUCAUGAGAAUAGUAUCUCAUGCAAUCAAGUCACAAUUGUUUAAAUUUCAAAAAGCCAAACUGAAGAACAAGCUGAAUACUGUUCCUUCCUCGCUCGCGUCGCUCCCAGGGGGGCGGCACGGGCGAUAACCUAGCCGCCGCCGCCCCCACUCCCCGCUCCUUCCUCGCUCCCAUGCCGCCGCCGGGGGAUGCCGACGGGCAAAUCUCGCUCGGCGGACGGCGGCGGCGGGGCCUCCUCGUCGUGUGGUGUGCGGCUUCGGCCCUGGACGGAGCUCCACUCCUGGUUGCGGCUGGGCGGCGGCGGGUCCUCUCGCCGGCGCAGGUAAGCCGGGGCGGCGGCGGCUAGGUUAUCGAUCCGGUUUCCCUUAUAAACUGGAUCAAUUCUCUUCUUCUAUAAUGAAAUGCCAGAGCUCCUGGCCCUCUGACGAGGUUAUGUCAAAAAAAAGUCACAAUUGUUUAUCCUCUUAGAUUAUCUUGCACUGCAGAAUUGUUGUACGGAACAAUUUAUAGGUGGUAUUCGUUAUUUCUCGGUAUGUAUAUGAACAAUGAUCGCACAUAUUCCUGUAAGCUAUAUUCUCUUCACAUUUAUGCAUAUUCUUGCUGAGACAGAAAAGAAAAGUAGUUGUAGUAAGUAGAUAUAUUUCUUCCCAUUUGUUUAUUCUUGCUGGGAGCGGAAAACACAUUAGCGACAAUAAGCAGUUAUGUAUAAACUUCUGUCUUGCAUACUGGAAAUGGAAACUAAUUAUCAUUUUUUGCUUUCUGACUUGCAAUGCAGAAUGUGAGAGCUUAUACCCCCAUAAAACAAGUGUUACAAAGUCUUUCAAUGGUGGUCUUGUAUACCCUCAUAAUUAUUGUUGUUGUAGUCAUCAUGUAUAAAUAGCAAGAUUCUUUUUCAGUUUUUUCUUGGCGUCGAUGAGCUCAGGAGCUCGGAGGAGGCCACCAUGGAGCUGAUGCCACCUCGGCAAACAAAACCUGUGCAGAACGAGAACGACGAGGCGAGCCAAUACUACAGAGGAGCUGGACCAUAGGGAGGUCUUAAUUUUAAAUAGCAAUCUUGGUUGCUAGCAUAUGUAAGGUUUGAAGUAUCUAUCCACCUUUUAAAAUAUAAGUGUCUAAAUACUGAAUAAUGAUUAUAGUGAUUUAUGACAAUCAGGUACCGUUUGGUUUAGCAUACAAGUGUCUAAAUACUAAAUA